GGCGCUAUAGUGUAGUGGUUAUCACUCGGGAUUCUGAUGUUUAUAUGUUCCCGAAACCCAGGUUCGAACCCUGGUAGCGCCU